rnacentral:lncRNA from 1 species
CACAAGCAUCCACUGUUUUGUGGUUGUGGUGUGGUUCUGUUGUGGUUCAUGUGAGUUCAGGACCACAUGAACCACAACAGAAAGUUCUUUUCAUAAUAUUUUAAGUUCUUACCUGUCAUGUUUUAACUCUCUUUGUUCAGUAAUGUUAACAAUACCUGGCUAAACUGCACUAUUAGUCUUUAGCUUUUUAUAUAUAUAAACUGCAUGUUCACUAUAUACAUAAAAUGCAAUGUUUGUCUAUUCUAAAAGGUUCCCACAGCAUUUAACUCCACAGAAACAAAUUUUGCAUGACCCAGAAAGUCUGUGUUACUCAUGGGAUAACAUAGACUAUUCUGAGUUGAGAUCACUUGGAGUGGGGCAUUUUGGGAUUUCAAUGAAACUAUCUUCAUUUAAAUACUUAAGAAUUGUCCAAAUUCAGAUGAAUGUCAUAAUCACACUAAUGUGAUAUCACGAUGAAGUAACAAUGGAUGAUAUCAUAAAACAUUGUUAUGUAAUGUCAUUAUGAUCUGCCAAUUUAUUCCAAAUGUUAUAAUAAAUGAAUUUUAUGGUAAAAAUGAUAUUUCUGCAUGGUUUAUUGUAAACUUAUCCAUGAAGUUUGUAAAUUCAUGGAGUCUGGAUCCUUCCGUUGAACACCAUUUUCAUUUUUUUUGUAGACCCCCCAACAUGGGUGUUGGCUACCUGUGAUAGACUCUAAAAGUGGCCACUAGCAAAAAUAUACCAUCUGAUAUAGUGGCAUAAUUCACACUGAAUAUAACUUACAAAUUAAUUUCAGUUAUCUAAAAUUAAGUUUUUGUUUCUUAUAUUAUUAAUAAGUAACCAGGAUGUCUGAUAUCAUGGUGGAAUAAGAGUUGUCAAAUAAAUUAUUAUUAUAUUCUUGAAAUUUCUAAGCAUUGCUGGAUACUUUUGCUAGUUGAUUAUAAAGUUAAAAAG